rnacentral:rRNA from 1 species
CGAUCGGGGAUGGGCUCGCGGCCUAUCAGCUUGUUGGUGGGGUAAUGGCCUACCAAGGCGACGACGGGUAGCCGGCCUGAGAGGGCGACCGGCCACACUGGGACUGAGACACGGCCCAGACUCCUACGGGAGGCAGCAGUGGGGAAUAUUGCACAAUGGGGGAAACCCUGAUGCAGCGACGCAGCGUGCGGGAUGACGGCCUUCGGGUUGUAAACCGCUUUCAGCAGGGAAGAAGCGAAAGUGACGGUACCUGCAGAAGAAGUACCGGCUAACUACGUGCCAGCAGCCGCGGUAAUACGUAGGGUACGAGCGUUGUCCGGAAUUAUUGGGCGUAAAGAGCUCGUAGGUGGUUGGUCACGUCUGCUGUGGAAACGCAACGCUUAACGUUGCGCGGGCAGUGGGUACGGGCUGACUAGAGUGCAGUAGGGGAGUCUGGAAUUCCUGGUGUAGCGGUGAAAUGCGCAGAUAUCAGGAGGAACACCGGUGGCGAAGGCGGGACUCUGGGCUGUAACUGACACUGAGGAGCGAAAGCAUGGGGAGCGAACAGGAUUAGAUACCCUGGUAGUCCAUGCCGUAAACGUUGGGCACUAGGUGUGGGGGACAUUCCACGUUCUCCGCGCCGUAGCU